GCGCCCGUAGCUCAGCUGGAUAGAGCGUCUGCCUCCGAAGCAGAAGGUCGUGGGUUCGAAUCCCGCCGGGCGUACCA
rnacentral:tRNA from 1 species